rnacentral:SRP_RNA from 1 species
UUGCGGGCUAGGUUGGAGGGUUAGCGGUCCUCUGUCGCCAGAAAUCCGCUUCACGCUGGAGCCGAAGCCGGGAAAGCGGUUCAGCACAUUGGGAAAAGCCAUUGCAAGCACGCAAUGACCUUUUGUCCCCUUAGGUUUUUUGCUGCUAUGAAUCCCGCCAGGCCUGGAAGGGAGCAACGGUAGUAACAACAGAAAAUGCUUUGGGGGUAGCGAAAGCAAGCAGCUGCAGUGAAACUUCUUCCAUUCUUGCUGAAUCCAUUUUCUGGCGGGCCCGCAC